GUAGAGGGAGAGGAUGAAGGAGAAGCAGGCUCCCCACUGAGCAGGGAACCAGAUGCAGGGCUGGAUCCCAGGACCCUGGACAGAUGCUGUACUGAGGGAGCCACCCAGGCACCCUGUGAGAGUUUUUAGACCUAGGAUGCAGAUGUGUGGAGGGCCAUGGCUGACUUGAAUGCUGUUGGGGUCAUCUCACAGCACAUGGCAUACACAAUUUAUCUUGCUUCCUGUCUUUAUAACAACGUCUUGGUUUUCAUGCUGUCUUAGAACAAGUAGAACUUGACUUACAUAGGUAGAGCCUGAUGCA